rnacentral:tRNA from 1 species
CGGGGCGUAGCGCAGUCUGGUAGCGCACCACACUGGGGGUGUGGGGGUCGCAAGUUCGAACCUUGCCGUCCCGACCA